rnacentral:rRNA from 1 species
GGCUUAGAGUUUGAUCAUGGCUCAGGAUGAACGCUGGCGACAGGCUUAACACAUGCAAGUCGAGGGGCAGCACUGGUAGCAAUACCGGGUGGCGACCGGCGCACGGGUGAGUAACGCGUAUGCAACUUACCUAUCAGAGGGGGAUAACCCGGCGAAAGUCGGACUAAUACCGCAUGAAGCAGGGGCCCCGCAUGGGGAUAUUUGCUAAAGAUUCAUCGCUGAUAGAUAGGCAUGCGUUCCAUUAGGCAGUUGGCGGGGUAACGGCCCACCAAACCGACGAUGGAUAGGGGUUCUGAGAGGAAGGUCCCCCACAUUGGUACUGAGACACGGACCAAACUCCUACGGGAGGCAGCAGUGAGGAAUAUUGGUCAAUGGGCGUAAGCCUGAACCAGCCAAGUCGCGUGAGGGAUGAAGGUUCUAUGGAUCGUAAACCUCUUAUAUAAGGGAAUAAAGUGUGGGACGUGUCCUAUUUUGUAUGUACCUUAUGAAUAAGGAUCGGCUAACUCCGUGCCAGCAGCCGCGGUAAUACGGAGGAUCCGAGCGUUAUCCGGAUUUAUUGGGUUUAAAGGGUGCGUAGGCGGCCUUUUAAGUCAGCGGUGAAAGUCUGUGGCUCAACCAUAGAAUUGCCGUUGAAACUGGGGGGCUUGAGUAUGUUUGAGGCAGGCGGAAUGCGUGGUGUAGCGGUGAAAUGCUUAGAUAUCACGCAGAACCCCGAUUGCGAAGGCAGCCUGCCAAGCCAUGACUGACGCUGAUGCACGAAAGCGUGGGGAUCAAACAGGAUUAGAUACCCUGGUAGUCCACGCAGUAAACGAUGAUCACUAGCUGUUUGCGAUACAGUGUAAGCGGCACAGCGAAAGCGUUAAGUGAUCCA